rnacentral:rRNA from 1 species
GAAGAAGCUUGCUUCUUCUGAUUUUAGNNNNNNNNNNGUGAGUAACACGUGGGCAACCUACCUUGUAGAUUGNNAUAACUCCGGGAAACCGGGGCUAAUACCGAAUAAUCCAUUUUGCUUCAUGGCGAAAUGUUAAAAGGCGGCUUCGGCUGUCACUGCAAGAUGGGCCCGCGGCGCAUUAGCUAGUUGGUAAGGUAACGGCUUACCAAGGCGACGAUGCGUAGCCGACCUGAGAGGGUGGUCGGCCACACUGGGACUGAGACACGGCCCAGACUCCUACGGGAGGCAGCAGUAGGGAAUCUUCCACAAUGGACGAAAGUCUGAUGGAGCAACGCCGCGUGAGUGAAGAAGGUUUUCGGAUCGUAAAACUCUGUUGUAAGGGAAGAACACGUACGAGAGUAACUGCUCGUACCUUGACGGUACCUUAUUAGAAAGCCACGGCUAACUACGUGCCAACAGCCGCGGUAAUACGUAGGUGGCAAGCGUUGUCCGGAAUUAUUGGGCGUAAAGCGCGCGCAGGCGGUCCUUUAAGUCUGAUGNGAAAGCCCACGGCUCANCCGUGGNNGGUCAUUGNNAACUGGGGGNCUUGAGUACNGAAGAGGANGCGGANUUCCANUGUAGCGNUGAANUG